UACGUAGGGGCCUAGCGUUGUCCGGAAUUAUUGGGCCUAAAGCAUCCGUAGCCGGCCUUACAAGUCCUCCGUUAAAUCCAGCUGCUUAACAGAUGGGCUGCGGAGGAUACUAUAAGACUAGGAGGCAGGAGAGGCAAGCGGUACUCAGUGGGUAGGGGUAAAAUCCGUUGAUCCAUUGAAGACCACCAGUGGCGAAGGCGGCUUGCCAGAAUGCGCUCGACGGUGAGGGAUGAAAGCUGGGGGAGCAAACCGG
rnacentral:rRNA from 1 species